rnacentral:rRNA from 1 species
CCUACGGGGGGCUGCAGUGGGGAAUUUUGCGCAAUGGGCGAAAGCCUGACGCAGCAACGCCGCGUGAGUGAUGAAGGCCUUCGGGUCGUAAAGCUCUGUCAAGGGGGAAGAAAUGUAACGUGGCUAAUAUCCAUGAUACUUGACGGUACCCCUAAAGGAAGCACCGGCUAACUCCGUGCCAGCAGCCGCGGUAAUACGGGGGGUGCAAGCGUUGUUCGGAAUUAUUGGGCGUAAAGCGCGUGUAGGCGGUUUGUUAAGUCUGAUGUGAAAGCCCUGGGCUCAACCCAGGAAGUGCAUUGGAAACUGGCAGACUUGAAUACGGGAGAGGGUAGUGGAAUUCCUGGUGUAGGAGUGAAAUCCGUAGAUAUCAGGAGGAACACCGGUGGCGAAGGCGGCUACCUGGACCGAUAUUGACGCUGAGACGCGAAAGCGUGGGUAGCAAACAGGAUUAGAUACCCCAGUAGUC